rnacentral:rRNA from 1 species
CCCUUAGAUGUUCUGGGCUGCACGCGCGCUACACUGAUGCGUUCAACGAGUUUAUGACCUUGCCCGAUAGGGUUGGGUAAUCUUUUUAAAUCGCAUCGUGAUGGGGAUAGAUUAUUGCAAUUAUUAAUCUUCAACGAGGAAUUCCUAGUAAGCGCAAGUCAUCAGCUUGCAUUGAUUACGUCCCUGCCCUUUGUACACACCGCCCGUCGCACCUACCGAUUGAAUGGUCCGGUGAAAUCUCGGGACGGCGGCUUGGUCGCUUGCGUCCGACUGCUGAAACUUGAUUAAACCAUAUCAUUUAGAGGAAGGUGAAGUCGUAACA